rnacentral:lncRNA from 10 species
UAAGAAUAUGCAUGGCAUAUUAUAGAAGUGUUGAGAAAAAUACAAUAAUAAGGCAUUUUAGGACAAAAUGAAAAUAUGGUUAAUUUAGAUUUUUAGAUCUAAUAAAACAAAGGCAGAUGGUAGGGUAUGAUUCCAAAAAUUGCUUCUCUUUCAAGUAGUUACACCUGUGGAUACAAUGUCUAUCACCAUAACUUCGACUCCUGAGCAAAAUGAGAGUGAUCAUAAGUGGAAUCCCUAGUAGGUAUAUCAAUCAGGGCCCCAACAGGAAGCAAGUGGCAUACUCCAGGAGGGUUGAGUAAAGGGACUGUUGAUAGGGUAUAGGCAGAUGUGGGAAAACCACAAAGAAGAGUGACAUGCUGGGGCUAGUCACAGCAGAUGUUACAACCCUGAGGUGUAAAGGAGCAAGAGGAGAGAGUGUGGAAAGGGUCACCUUGAGAGGAGUUAUGGUCUUUGCUCGCAAUCAUGCAGCCAGCCCAAGCCAACUCUGUAGGCAGGAAGCAGGGGAAUGUGGGACCAGACCGCACUGUGAUCUUCCUUCUGACCUCCUGCAGGGGCUCUCCAUUGGACAAAGCCAACCAGAAACCAGAGGGCAAGUGAGAUUGUUAAAGUAAUUACACAAGUCUGCCUCCAAGACAGACAACUUUGGUCCAGAAGGCAGCAAAGAGGCAAGGGCGGAAGGGCGGAAAUGGAAGCUAUUUGGCACCAUGAACACGGCAGAGAAGACAACAUAGCAUAGAGAAGGAGCAUGGACAAGAGAAGCUUUCGAAAUGCAUUUGAAGGACUUGAAUUAAAUAUCAUUUGGGAAGGAAAAGAAGUUGUUUGAUUUGGUUUUGCAAUUGGACUGAAUGGAUGGAAGAAACCCUCAUCAUAUGUGAUAGGUAAUGCUACCAAUGUUACCUGCAAUAGGACAGCUUCACUACUUCCUGAUCCUGAAACACAACAGAAAUCUGAUCCUAGCUUUGUAAAUAUCUUUACCACAAGUAGGUUACCAUUCAUAGACACCAACACUCAGUGCCAGGCACCAUCCUAGGAGCCAUGGAUACCAUAACCAAUAAGAUAGACACUGUCAAAGCCUUGGUAUAAGGUUUGUUCAGACAAAUCCUAUGCAGAAAUUCACUAUAUUUACAUAAAAGAUAGAAAGUGAAUAAUGACAGGCUGGGCGCGGUGGUUCAUGCCUGUAAUUCCAGCACUUUG